rnacentral:rRNA from 1 species
UACGGGGGGGGCAAGCGUUGUUCGGAAUUACUGGGCGUAAAGGGCUCGUAGGUGGCCAACUAAGUCAGACGUGAAAUCCCUCGGCUUAACCGGGGAACUGCGUCUGAUACUGGAUGGCUUGAGUUUGGGAGAGGGACGCGGAAUUCCAGGUGUAGCGGUGAAAUGCGUAGAUAUCUGGAGGAAUACCGGUGGCGAAGGCGGCAUCCUGGACCGACAUUGACGCUGAUGAGCGAAAGCUAGGGGAGCAAACGGGG